AACGGACGAGAAGCUUGCUUCUCUGAUGUUAGCGGCGGACGGGUGAGUAACACGUGGAUAACCUACCUAUAAGACUGGGAUAACUUCGGGAAACCGGAGCUAAUACCGGANAAUAUUUUGAACCGCAUGGUUCAAAAGUGAAAGACGGUCUUGCUGUCACUUAUAGAUGGAUCCGCGCUGCAUUAGCNAGUUGGUAAGGUAACGGCUUACCAAGGCAACGAUGCAUAGCCGACCUGAGAGGGUGAUCGGCCACACUGGAACUGAGACACGGUCCAGACUCCUACGGGAGGCAGCAGUAGGGAAUCUUCCGCAAUGGGCGAAAGCCUGACGGAGCAACGCCGCGUGAGUGAUGAAGGUCUUCGGAUCGUAAAACUCUGUUAUUAGGGAAGAACAUAUGUGUAAGUAACUGUGCACAUCUUGACGGUACCUAAUCAGAAAGCCACGGCUAACUACGUGCCAGCAGCCGCGGUAAUACGUAGGUGGCAAGCGUUAUCCGGAAUUAUUGGGCGUAAAGCGCGCGUAGGCGGUUUUUUAAGUCUGAUGUGAAAGCCCACGGCUCAACCGUGGAGGGUCAUUGGAAACUGGAAAACUUGAGUGCAGAAGAGGAAAGUGGAAUUCCAUGUGUAGCGGUGAAAUGCGCAGAGAUAUGGAGGAACACCAGUGGCGAAGGCGACUUUCUGGUCUGUAACUGACGCUGAUGUGCGAAAGCGUGGGGAUCAAACAGGAUUAGAUACCCUGGUAGUCCACGCCGUAAACGAUGAGUGCUAAGUGUUAGGGGGUUUCCGCCCCUUAGUGCUGCAGCUAACGCAUUAAGCACUCCGCCUGGGGAGUACGACCGCAAGGUUGAAACUCAAAGGAAUUGACGGGGACCCGCACAAGCGGUGGAGCAUGUGGUUUANNUCGAAGCAACGCGAAGAACCUUACCAAAUCUUGACAUCCUUUGACNACUCUAGA
rnacentral:rRNA from 1 species